rnacentral:lncRNA from 1 species
AAUAUUUAUUAACAUCCUAAGCCGCCCCAUAAUCAAGCCAAUGCUGAUAGGGACAAAGAAGGUGCCAUGUGCAGUUUUUCUCCAUGUCCCCACAAUAUCUGCUCUGAAUUUUAAAAGGCAAUUACUGGGGGAGAAGGAAGCCUAUAUAUUAUGUAGGAUCCAAGUCUCAAACUGCUUUCCUAGGGAGUGUGAGGUUCUUGGAGAUUAAGUGCAGUACCUUUCUGUCUUGAGCCUUGUAGGCUGCCCCUCUAAUUUAAUGCCAGUCUUGAAAUAAACAGAAUGCUUUCCAAGUCAUCGCUAAUUUUAACACUUUAAAUUUAGAAUUGCUUAGAAUUGACUCAACACUGCCUCCUUGCUGAAUGGAUAAUUCAAGCAAACAACUCAAGAGCUGGAUGCUGCCCAGACAGGUAGGCAGCCAGAUAAAGUGAGUGUCCAGGGAAAGAGCAGUAAGGGUCAGAAGAGAAAGAGCCUGGUGUUCUCACUGCCUCCUGCCUUCCUUAUGACUGUCUGUUCAGAAGUCCUCCUAGCAUCUUUCUUCUGCCUUCCCCUGCUCCUGUCCCUGAAACCUUUUCUUCAAAAGAAGUGGAAAAGAGGAACUGGGAACCCAUAUAGCAACAGCAUCACCUGGAAUGAAUUCCUUUAGAACAUACUGUCUUGGAAAUCUGAAGCCUGCAGGGCUGGACAGGCAAGAAGAGCAGUGAGCACUGCAUGAACCUCACCCUUGAACUUCUAUAUGGUCUCCAAAGACAUGAUAAAUACAGAGAUUGCUCUCUCCUCUCAACUGCAACAGUAAUGAUUCCUUUGCAUUUUAAUUAAGUCUUUUACACAUGAAUAAGUCUUUAUCCUCAAAUGGACUAAAGACUCCUCGAGGACAAGAACUAUCCUUCAGUCCCAUACAUUGGUUACCUGGCAAAGGACCCUAAAUGCAGAUUAUGAAGUAGCUAUGGAAUUUGAAUGGGUUGAUUCUUCAGCUCCCAGAAAAAAACUUUGAUUGGUUUAACUGGCCACAGUAAUUGAUGUGGGAAUGAGGCCCUGACAUAAUUUCAACUUAGAAGACAUGUUCACUGGAAGUGAACUAGGAAGCAUGAAGUCUCAGACAUUCGACACUGAAAGAAUAAGCAGUCUUAGGAUGAAGGCAGUGCUAUGGACACCAGAACUCCAUGGUUCAGGCUGUUCAGCAUCAACUGUUCCUGACAGCCACCCUAACGUGCCUCCAGUUUCCUGGGCCAACAGAUGCCUGUCAUUGUUGAAGUUUCUUUGAGUUGGGUCUUCCGUUACUUACAAUUUAAAUCACCCUCACUGAUUACUAUGUACUUAAUUGUUCUCCUCCACUCUCUGCCAAUCCAUAUGCUGAAGCCUUAACCCCCAACGUGAUAGUAUUUGGAGACUGGAACUUUGGGAGAUAAUUAGAUUUAGAUGUGGUCAUGAGGAUGGGACCUUCAAGAUGAGAAUAGUAUCCUUAUAAAAAGUGGUACUAGAAAGCCUCUCUUUCUCUCUCUCUGCCACGUAAGAACACAGCAAGAAGGCAGCCAUCUGC